UACGAAGGGGGCUAGCGUUGUUCGGAAUUACUGGGCGUAAAGCGCGCGCAGGCGGCUAUCCAAGUCAGUGGUGAAAGCCCGGAGCUCAACUCCGGAACUGCCAUCGAAACUGUUUAGCUUGAGGACGAGAGAGGUGAGUGGAAUUCCCAGUGUAGAGGUGAAAUUCGUAGAUAUUGGGAAGAACACCGGUGGCGAAGGCGGCUCACUGGCUCGUAUCUGACGCUCAGGCGCGACAGCGUGGGGAUCAAACAGG
rnacentral:rRNA from 1 species